GAUGAACGCUGGCGGCGUGCCUAAUACAUGCAAGUCGAGCGAACAGACGAGGAGCUUGCUCCUUUGACGUUAGCGGCGGACGGGUGAGUAACACGUGGGUAACCUACCUAUAAGACUGGGAUAACUUCGGGAAACCGGAGCUAAUACCGGAUAAUAUUUCGAACCGCAUGGUUCGAUAGUGAAAGAUGGCUUUGCUAUCACUUAUAGAUGGACCUGCGCCGUAUUAGCUAGUUGGUAAGGUAAUGGCUUACCAAGGCAACGAUACGUAGCCGACCUGAGAGGGUGAUCGGCCACACUGGAACUGAGACACGGUCCAGACUCCUACGGGAGGCAGCAGUAGGGAAUCUUCCGCAAUGGGCGAAAGCCUGACGGAGCAACGCCGCGUGAGUGAUGAAGGUCUUCGGAUCGUAAAACUCUGUUAUUAGGGAAGAACAAACGUGUAAGUAACUGUGCACGUCUUGACGGUACCUAAUCAGAAAGCCACGGCUAACUACGUGCCAGCAGCCGCGGUAAUACGUAGGUGGCAAGCGUUAUCCGGAAUUAUUGGGCGUAAAGCGCGCGUAGGCGGUUUUUUAAGUCUGAUGUGAAAGCCCACGGCUCAACCGUGGAGGGUCAUUGGAAACUGGAAAACUUGAGUGCAGAAGAGGAAAGUGGAAUUCCAUGUGUAGCGGUGAAAUGCGCAGAGAUAUGGAGGAACACCAGUGGCGAAGGCGACUUUCUGGUCUGUAACUGACGCUGAUGUGCGAAAGCGUGGGGAUCAAACAGGAUUAGAUACCCUGGUAGUCCACGCCGUAAACGAUGAGUGCUAAGUGUUAGGGGGUUUCCGCCCCUUAGUGCUGCAGCUAACGCAUUAAGCACUCCGCCUGGGGAGUACGACCGCAAGGUUGAAACUCAAAGGAAUUGACGGGGACCCGCACAAGCGGUGGAGCAUGUGGUUUAAUUCGAAGCAACGCGAAGAACCUUACCAAAUCUUGACAUCCUUUGACCCUUCUAGAGAUAGAAGUUUCCCCUUCGGGGGACAAAGUGACAGGUGGUGCAUGGUUGUCGUCAGCUCGUGUCGUGAGAUGCUGGGUUAAGUCCCGCAACGAGCGCAACCCUUAAGCUUAGUUGCCAUCAUUAAGUUGGGCACUCUAAGUUGACUGCCGGUGACAAACCGGAGGAAGGUGGGGAUGACGUCAAAUCAUCAUGCCCCUUAUGAUUUGGGCUACACACGUGCUACAAUGGACAAUACAAAGGGCAGCGAAACCGCGAGGUCAAGCAAAUCCCAUAAAGUUGUUCUUAGUUCGGAUUGUAGUCUGCAACUCGACUACAUGAAGCUGGAAUCGCUAGUAAUCGUAGAUCAGCAUGCUACGGUGAAUACGUUCCCGGGUCU
rnacentral:rRNA from 1 species